AGUGAACGCUGGCGGUAGGCCUAACACAUGCAAGUCGAACGGCAGCACAGUAAGAGCUUGCUCUUACGGGUGGCGAGUGGCGGACGGGUGAGGAAUACAUCGGAAUCUACUUUUUCGGGGGGGAUAAAGUAGGGAAACUUACGCUAAUACCGCAUACGACCUACGGGUGAAAGCAGGGGAUCUUCGCACCUUGCGCGAUUGAAUGAGCCGAUGUCGGAGUAGCUAGUUGGCGGGGUAAAGGCCCACCAAGGGGACGAUCCGUAGCUGGUCUGAGAGGAUGAUCAGCCACACUGGAACUGAGACACGGUCCAGACUCCUACGGGAGGCAGCAGUGGGGAAUAUUGGACAAUGGGCGCAAGCCUGAUCCAGCCAUACCGCGUGGGUGAAGAAGGCCUUCGGGUUGUAAAGCCCUUUUGUUGGGAAAGAAAAGCAGCAGGUUAAUACCCCGCUGUUCUGACGGUACCCAAAGAAUAAGCACCGGCUAACUUCGUG
rnacentral:rRNA from 1 species